rnacentral:pre_miRNA from 1 species
AAAAUACUCCCUCCGUCCGGGAUUACUUGUCACAAAAAUGGAUACAAAUGGAUGUAUCUAAAAUUAAAAUACAUCUAGAUACAUCCAUUCCUACGACAAGUAUUUCCGGACGGAGAGAGUAUAAU